GCGGACGUGGUGGAAUUGGUAGACGCGCCAGAUUUAGGUUCUGGUGGCUUAGGCUGUGUGGGUUCAAAUCCCUCCGUCCGCACCA
rnacentral:tRNA from 1 species